UACGUAGGUGGCAAGCGUUGUCCGGAAUUACUGGGUGUAAAGGGCGUGUAGGCGGGACUGCAAGUCAGAUGUGGAAUUCCCAGGCUCAACCUGGGGGCUGCAUCUGAAACUGUGGUUCUUGAGUGCUGGAGAGGAAAGCGGAGUUCCUAGUGGAGCGGUGAAAUGCGUAGAUAUUAGGAGGAACACCAGUGGCGAAGGCGGCUUUCUGGACAGUAACUGACGCUGAGGCGCGAAAGCGUGGGGAGCAAACACG
rnacentral:rRNA from 1 species